GAUUUUUUUGGAUUCUCUUAAAUUUGGGUUGGCAAAAAACAUCAGAUUGAUUCCUACUAAUUUGAUUCAUCUUCUUCGACUAAAAUCAUGGCAAAAGAAAGAAAAUUAUUAGAGCUGGACAAAUGUUCUUUGGCCUCACUGUUCACUUUUUCAGAUAUAGUUUUUAUUUUGCCUGAGUUAUCGUCGGAGCAGCAACAACAAGAGUGAGCAAUCUUUCACUCCCGUCAGCGCAGCAGUGGGUUUCUGACAAGAAACGCGGCAGUGAUGCAUCCACGGUGGCUGGGACGUGUGUUGCAGAGCGGCGGUUCUCUGGAAUCGACUCGGAGGCGGACCCGUAUACCAAUUACCACGAUUAACUAAGAUUGCUUGGCUGCUUGCUUUAUAAACUCGGAAUCUAUGGCGGUUUCUAACGCCUUUGCUGUUACCCCAAAGCUGGAGUAUUUGUUAUCGAAUCAACUUAACCCAUCAUCAUCAUCUUCUUCUUCUUCUCCGGCGUCGUUUGGUGUAAUCGGGAUUCGUGAUCUUCCCAUGAACAAUAAUAGGAACAGGCGAGGUCUGAUCCAGAGAGCCUGUUGCGAGAUUUCCACUUCUAGAUGAAAAGAAACAGUUUGACUCAGUUUGACUCACUCGGUUGUGGAAGAUGUAGUAACAACAUAGUCAAAGGAGAGAAGCACUACGAGCUGCGAGAGCUCCUCCUCCUCCUCUUCCUCCGGCACCACCGUCGCAGAUUCUUGGUUGGCCUAUUAGAAAAGCUUCGUUUCGAAAUAUUUCUAAGGAGAAUGUUAGAUUAGAUCAUAAGGCAUCAACCCUUCACGAUGAUUCUGGUUUUAAAGGGAAAGACAUGACUAUUACAGAUUUGGAUAUGAUGAAGGAGAGAUUUGCAAAGUUGUUGCUUGGUGAAGAUAUGUCAUGUUCUGGUAAAGGCGUGUGUACGGCUUUAGCUAUCUCCAACGCUAUCACUAAUCUUUGUGCUACGAUAUUUGGGCAACUAUGGAGGUUAGAGCCGCUACCGAGGGAAAAGAAGGAGAUGUGGAGAAGAGAAAUGGAG